rnacentral:rRNA from 1 species
AACGAACGCUGGCGGCAUGCCUAACACAUGCAAGUCGAACGAGACCUUCGGGUCUAGUGGCGCACGGGUGCGUAACGCGUGGGAACCUGCCCUUAUGCUCGGAAUAACUCCCCGAAAGGGGUGCUAAUACCGGAUAAUGUCUUCGGACCAAAGAUUUAUCGCCUUUGGAUGGGCCCGCGUUGGAUUAGCUAGUUGGUAGGGUAAAAGCCUACCAAGGCGACGAUCCAUAGCUGGUCUGAGAGGAUGAUCAGCCACACUGGGACUGAGACACGGCCCAGACUCCUACGGGAGGCAGCAGUGGGGAAUAUUGGACAAUGGGCGAAAGCCUGAUCCAGCAAUGCCGCGUGAGUGAUGAAGGCCUUAGGGUUGUAAAGCUCUUUUACCCGGGAUGAUAAUGACAGUACCGGGAGAAUAAGCACCGGCUAACUCCGUG